rnacentral:rRNA from 1 species
UACGGGGGGGGCAAGCGUUGUUCGGAAUUACUGGGCGUAAAGGGCUCGUAGGCGGCCAACUAAGUCGGAUGUGAAAUCCCCAGGCUUAACCUGGGAACUGCAUCCGAUACUGGAUGGCUUGAGUUUGGGAGAGGGAUGCGGAAUUCCAGGUGUAGCGGUGAAAUGCGUAGAUAUCUGGAGGAACACCGGUGGCGAAGGCGGCAUCCUGGACCAAUACUGACGCUGAGGAGCGAAAGCCAGGGGAGCAAACGGG